UGGGGGAUAUUUCGCAAUGGGGGCAACCCUGACGCAGCACCGCCGCGUGAAGGAUGAAGGUUUUCGGAUUGUAAACUUCUUUUAUUAAGGACGAAAUUUGAAGGUACUUAAUGCAUAAGCUCCGGCUAACUACGUGCCAGCAGCCGCGGUAAUACGUAGGGAGCAAGCGUUUUCCGGAUUUACUGGGUGUAAAGGGUGCGUAGGCGGCUUUGCAAGUCAGAUGUGAAAUCUAUGGGCUCAACCCAUAAACUGCAUUUGAAACUGUAGAGCUUGAGUGAAGUAGAGGCAGGCGGAAUUCCCCGUGUAGCGGUGAAAUGCGUAGAGAUGGGGAGGAACACCAGUGGCGAAGGCGGCCUGCUGGGCUUUAACUGACGCUGAGGCACGAAAGCGUGGGUAGCAAACAGG
rnacentral:rRNA from 1 species